rnacentral:rRNA from 1 species
AAAAAAUGUAUAAAAUUUAUUAUUUUUUUUUGUUUUUUUAAGUUUUAAAAAAAAUAUUUUUUUUUUUAGUAUUUUUUAAGAUUAAUAUUUUUUAUUUAUAGUUUUAACAGUAAUGGUAUUUUGAAUAAUAAUUAAAGUAAAAUUAAUUUUUUGUACCUUUUGUAUCAGGGUUAAUUAAAUUAAUUUAAUUUUUUUAAAAUAUCUCGAAAUUUGAAGAGUUAAAUAAAAAUAAUAGUUUAUAUAAUAUAAUAAUUAUUUUUAUUUAUUUAGGAAUUAUAUGUUAUUCAUUUUUAAUAAUAUCUAGUUAUUUAAUAAAUAAAUUAAAUUUAAAAUAAAAUAAUUUUAAUAUUCAUAAAUUUAAUUAAGUUUUAUUAUUUAAAAAUUUAUAGGGAUAAGCUCUAAUAUUAUUUUUAUAAAAGUCUUUAUAAAUAAAUUUUUGUAGGUUUAAUAAUAUCUAUCAUUUAUUUUGUUAUAAUUAAUUUUUUAAAAUUAUGAUUUUAUUACUUUUAAUUUAUUAUUAAAUUAAAAAUUUUAAUUUUUUAUUUUUAGGUAAUAAUGAUUAAAUUAAUUAAUUUUGAAAAAUUAAAUUUAUGAAUUCGGCAAAUUUAAUUUUCACCUGUUUAACAAAAACAUGUCUUUUUGUUUUUAAUUUUAAGUCUAACCUGCUCAAUGAAUUUUUUAAAUAGCUGCAGUAUUUUAACAGUACUAAGGUAGCAUAAUCAUUUGUUUUUUAAUUGAAGACUAGUAUGAAAGAUUUGAUGAAAAAUUAACUUUAUUAAUUUUAUUUAAUUAAAUUUAAUUUUUAAGUUAAAAUGCUUAAAUUAAUUUAUAGGACGAGAAGACCCUUUAGAACUUUAUAUAUAUAUAUUAAUUAAAAAUUAAUAUUAAUUUUUAAUUAAUAUAUAUAUAUUAAAUUGGGGUGAUUAAAAAAUUUUAUUAACUUUUAUUUUUUAAUUUCAUUUAUUUAUGUUUUAUUGAUCCAAUAUUUUUGAUUAUAAGAUUAAGUUACCUAAGGGAUAACAGCGUAAUUUUUUUGGAGAGUUCUUAUCGAUAAAUAAGUUUGCGACCUCGAUGUUGAAUUAAGAUAAGAUAUAGGUGUAGAAGUUUAUUUUAAUAGGUCUGUUCGACCUUUAAAUUCUUACAUGAUUUGAGUUUAAAUCGGCGUGAGCCAGGUUGGUUUCUAUCCUUAAUUAUUUAUAGUAUUUUAGUACGAAAGGACCAAUUACUAAAAUUAAUUUAAUUAAUUUUGAUAAUAU